rnacentral:rRNA from 1 species
GACGAACGCUGGCGGCGUGCUUAACACAUGCAAGUCGAACGGAAAGGCCCUGCAUUUGUGGGGUGCUCGAGUGGCGAACGGGUGAGUAACACGUGAGUAACCUGCCCUUUACUUUGGGAUAACUUCAGGAAACUGGGGCUAAUACCGGAUAUGAACUCCUGCUGCAUGGUGGGGGUUGGAAAGUUUCGGCGGUUGGGGAUGGACUCGCGGCUUAGCAGCUUGUUGGUGGGGUAAUGGCUUACCAAGGCUUUGACGGGUAGCCGGCCUGCGAGGGUGACCGGCCACAUUGGGACUGAGAUACGGCCCAGACUCCUACGGGAGGCAGCAGUGGGGAAUAUUGCACAAUGGGCGGAAGCCUGAUGCAGCAACGCCGCGUGCGGGAUGACGGCCUUCGGGUUGUAAACCGCUUUCGCCUGUGACGAAGCGUGAGUGACGGUAAUGGGUAAAGAAGCACCGGCUAACUACGU